rnacentral:rRNA from 1 species
UGCAGAAUCCCGUGAACCAUCGAGUUUUUGAACGCAAGUUGCGCCCGAGGCCAUUCGGCCGAGGGCACGCCUGCCUGGGCGUCAGCUGCCCAUGAACGCUCCUUCCCCAUCUUAUUAUAUGUGGGGGGGAUGCGGAGCAUGGCCAUCCUUGCCCUCGGGCUCGGCGGGCCGAAGCGUGUGGCUUGCCGAUUGGGGCCGGCAGUGGCGAGUGGUGGAUUGAUCGCUCACGCGAGCCGUACGUCGCCCGUCGUGCCCCCGAGCGGGAAGCCUCGAGUCACCCUGGACGCACGGAUGCCGAACGGCAUCCUCGGACCAAGACCCCAGGUCAGGCGGGGCCACCCGCUGAGUUUAAGCAUAUAAUUAAGCGGAGGAGAAGAAACUUACGAGGAUUCCCCUAGUAACGGCGAGCGAACCGGGAGCAGCCCAGCCUUGGAAUCACGCGGCGCCGCCGCGCGA